AGCGAACGCUGGCGGUAGGCCUAACACAUGCAAGUCGAACGGCAGCACCGUGCGAGUUUGCUGUUAUGGGUGGCCAGUCGCGGACGGGUGACGAAUGCAUCGGACUCUUCUUUUUCGUGGGGGUUCACGUAGCGGAACUUACGCUCAUACCGCAUACCCCCUACGGGUGUAAGCAUGGGAUAUUCUCACCUUGCGGGAUUGAACUCGCCGAUUUCGGAUUAGUUAGUUGGCGGGGUAAAGGCCAACCCUGGCGACGAUCCGUAGCUGGUCUGAGAGGAUGGUCAGCCACACUGGAACUGAGACACGGUCCAGACUCCUACGGGAGGCAGCAGUGGGGAAUGUUGGACAAUGGGCGCAAGCCUGAUCCAGCCAUACCGCGUGGGUGAAGAAGGCGUUGGGGUUGUAAAGCCCUUUUGUUGGGAAAGAAAAGCAGCAGGUUAAUACCCCGCUGUUCUGACGGUACCCAAAGAAGAGGCACCGGCUAACUUCGUG
rnacentral:rRNA from 1 species